rnacentral:rRNA from 1 species
GACGAACGCUGGCGGCGUGCUUAACACAUGCAAGUCGAACGGUAAGGCCCUUCGGGGUACACGAGUGGCGAACGGGUGAGUAACACGUGGGUGAUCUGCCCUGCACUUCGGGAUAAGCCUGGGAAACUGGGUCUAAUACCGGAUAGGACCACUGCCUGCAUGGGUGGUGGUGGAAAGCUUUUGCGGUGUGUGAUGGGCCCGCGGCCUAUCAGCUUGUUGGUGGGGUGAUGGCCUACCAAGGCGACGACGGGUAGCCGGCCUGAGAGGGUGACCGGCCACACUGGGACUGAGGUACGGCCCAGACUCCUACGGGAGGCAGCAGUGGGGAAUAUUGCACAAUGGGCGCAAGCCUGAUGCAGCGACGCCGCGUGAGGGAUGACGGCCUUCGGGUUGUAAACCUCUUUCAGCACCGACGAAGCGCAAGUGACGGUAGGUGCAGAAGAAGGACCGGCCAACUACGUGCCAGCAGCCGCCGUAA